CUCUCAACUCGUCAACCAUGUGUGCUGGAUGAUUUAUGACGUCAACCUGUCCAAAUUCUGCUGGAUUGACUUUGCUUCGAACCCUCGCUCAACCCUCAGGCGUUUUCUCAGUUGGUUUUGAGACGCAUGGCCAAUUGUUUUAGGGGGCUCUACAAUUAGAAACUUUCUGUUGCACUCGUCUCUACUAGAUAUGCUCGUCGCUCCGAUGCGAACGCGAUGAGCUUUACAUUAUCGUUUCCGAAGAAUUUGUUGUUAGUUUUAGAAACUUUUUAACGAGUUCUUGAGGACUUUUCCACGUAAUUUCCGUGACGAUUUAGUGCGUUCUUUGAAGAUCCUUUCGUGAAUUUUUAAAAACUUUCCAGAGUGAUCAGAAACUAUCCGUUUUUGUAAGUUUUUCAUGGGUUACGCGUGAACAUUCGGGUAGUUUUGCGUGUGUUUUCGGGGGUUGUUUGGUGAGGUAGGGGUCAUAUCGAGAGUGUGGGGACUCGGACACGGACUGAUGUUGGGUUCAAGAUGAGAUCAUUGGGGCCGACGAUCGCGAUCGGAGUCUGGUGGGCUUUGGCGAGCCUGGUGACAGCGUCGCUGGACUACUGUUGCGUCGACAUGAUCGCCUCCGCCAAAGCGCCCUGGAUGCAGUUUACCAAGGAGCUCAGCUCCCAGGAGUUCAGCGUCACCAACUCCCUCAAGUCCCUUCACUGUUGCGCCAAAGGCUACCGUAGCAUCGAGUGGUACAAGGAUGGAAAGCCUUAUCCAUGGCGUAGGGAUGUCUCGAACAUGAUAUUAUACCCAGAAUCAGCCAAUCAAACGUGUACACGCACGCAGUGA
rnacentral:lncRNA from 1 species